rnacentral:rRNA from 1 species
UCCUCGACCUCUGAUGGCUUCUACAUCUCCCAAGAAAAAUAUAGUCAAGAUCUUCUUGCUCGCGCUGCUCUCGGUGAUGAGCGCACUGUUGUGACUCCUAUGGAGCUCAACAUUCAGCUUCGUGCCUCUGAUGGUGACCCUCUUCCUAAUCCCACUCGCUAUCGUCACCUUGUUGGCAGUCUUGUCUAUACUGCUGUUAUGCGUCCUGACAUCUCCUAUCCUGUCCACAUCCCGAGUCAGUUUGUUUCAGCCCCCACCUCUGUCCACUAUAGUCACCUUCUCCGUGUUCUACGAUAUCUUCAUGGCAUGAUCUCUCAGCGCCUUUUCUUUCCUCGCUCCAGUUCUCUUGAGCUCUAG